rnacentral:rRNA from 1 species
ACGAAGGGUGCAAGCGUUACUCGGAAUUACUGGGCGUAAAGCAUGCGUAGGUGGUUCGUUAAGUCUGAUGUGAAAGCCCUGGGCUCAACCUGGGAAUGGCAUUGGAUACUGGCGAUCUAGAGUGCGGUAGAGGGCAGUGGAAUUCCCGGUGUAGCAGUGAAAUGCGUAGAGAUCGGGAGGAACAUCUGUGGCGAAGGCAGCUCGUUGGGACGUGACCGACGCUGAGACGCGAAAGCGUGGGGAGCAAACAGGA